rnacentral:rRNA from 1 species
GACGAACGCUGGCGGCGUGCUUAACACAUGCAAGUCGAACGGAAAGGCCCUGCUUUUGUGGGGUGCUCGAGUGGCGAACGGGUGAGUAACACGUGAGUAACCUGCCCUUGACUUUGGGAUAACUUCAGGAAACUGGGGCUAAUACCGGAUAGGAGCUCCUGCUGCAUGGUGGGGGUUGGAAAGUUUCGGCGGUUGGGGAUGGACUCGCGGCUUAUCAGCUUGUUGGUGGGGUAGUGGCUUACCAAGGCUUUGACGGGUAGCCGGCCUGAGAGGGUGACCGGCGACAUUGGGACUGAGAGACGGCCCAGACUCCUACGGGAGGCAGGAGUGGGGAAUAUUGCACAAUGGGCGGAAGCCUGAUGCAGCAACGCCGCGUGCGGGAUGACGGCCUUCGGGUUGUAAACCGCUGUCGGCUGUGACGAAGCGUGAGUGACGGUAAUGGGUAAAGAAGCACCGGCUAACUACGUG